rnacentral:lncRNA from 1 species
GGAUGUGAGGGCGAUCUGAUUGAGACAUCUGUCACCCCAUUGAUCGCCAGAGUUGAUUCGGCUGAUCUGGCAGGCUAGGCAGGUGUCCCCUUCCUCCGUCACUGCUCCAUAUGUGUCCCUCCCAAAGCUGCAUGCUCAGUCAAAGAGGAUGACCAUCCUGGAUAGAGGAGGACUGACCCUCCAUCAAGGGUAUAUGCAUUCCCCUGCUAGAACCUUCAAACAAGCUCUCAAG